AAGUCGUAACAAGGUUUCCGUAGGUGAACCUGCGGAAGGAUCAUUCAUAAUAAGUGUUUUAUGGCACUUUUUAAAUCCAUAUCCACCUUGUGUGCAAUGUCGGUCGAUCUUUCUUCUUGGAAGAUCGGCCAAACAUCAACUUAUUUUUUUAACUCUUUGUCUGAAAAAUAUUAUGAAUAAACAAUUCAAAAUACAACUUUCAACAACGGAUCUCUUGGCUCUC
rnacentral:misc_RNA from 1 species